rnacentral:rRNA from 1 species
AGGCUAUCUGUAUGUGCGUAGUAAGUUUUUCGGCAGGGAUGUGCUCGCGGCCUAUCAGCUUGUUGGUGGGGUAAUGGCCUACCAAGGCUUCGACGGUAGCCGGCCUGAGAGGGUGACCGGCCACACUGGGACUGAGACACGGCCCAGACUCCUACGGGAGGCAGCAGUGGGGGAAUAUUGGACAAUGGGCGGAAGCCUGAUCCAGCAACGCCGCGUGAGGGAUGACGGCCUUCGGGUUGUAAACCUCUUUCAGUACCGACGAAGCGCCGAUGAUGGUGGUGACGGUAGGUACAGAAGAAGCACCGGCCAACUACGUG